rnacentral:rRNA from 1 species
UGGGGAAGUAUUGCACAAUGGGCGGCAAGCCUGAUGCAGCCAUGCCGCGUGUAUGAAGAAGGCCUUCGGGCUUGUAAAGAUACUUUCAGCGAGGAGGAAGGCAUUGUGGUUAAUAACCGCAGUGAUUGACGUUACUCGCAGAAGAAGCACCGGCUAACUCCGUGCCAGCAGCCGCGGUAAUACGGAGGGUGCAAGCGUUAAUCGGAAUUACUGGGCGUAAAGCGCACGCAGGCGGUCUGUCAAGUCGGAUGUGAAAUCCCCGGGCUCAACCUGGGAACUGCAUUCGAAACUGGCAGGCUAGAGUCUUGUAGA